rnacentral:rRNA from 1 species
AUACGGAGGGUGCAAGCGUUAUUCGGAAUCACUGGGCGUAAAGGACGCGUAGGCGGGUUGGCAAGUCAGAUGUGAAAUCCUACAGCCUAACUGUAGAACUGCAUUUGAAACUGCUAACCUAGAGUAUGGGAGGGGGAGAUGGAAUUAGUGGUGUAGGGGUAAAAUCCGUAGAUAUCACUAGGAAUACCGAAAGCGAAGGCGAUCUCCUGGAACAUAACUGACGCUAAGGCGUGAAAGCGUGGGGAGCAAACAGGAUUAGAUACCCCAGUAGUCC